rnacentral:rRNA from 1 species
CUUACGGGAGGCAGCAGUGGGGAAUAUUGGACAAUGGGCGAAAGCCUGAUCCAGCAAUGCCGCGUGAGUGAUGAAGGCCCUAGGGUUGUAAAGCUCUUUUACCCGGGAAGAUAAUGACUGUACCGGGAGAAUAAGCCCCGGCUAACUCCGUGCCAGCAGCCGCGGUAAU